UACGUAGGAUCCAAGCGUUGUCCGGAUUUACUGGGUGUAAAGGGUGCGCAGGCGGAAUGGUAAGUCAGAGGUGAAAUCUCAUCGCUCAACGGUGAAACUGCCUUUGAUACUAUCAUUCUUGAGUCCGAUAGAGAUCUGUGGAAUUCCGAGUGUAGCAGUGAAAUGUGUAGAUAUUCGGAAGAACACCAGUGGCGAAGGCAGCAGAUUGGGUCGGUACGUGACGCUCAGGCACGAAAGCGUGGGGAGCAAACAGGG
rnacentral:rRNA from 1 species